rnacentral:rRNA from 1 species
AGCAGCCGCGGUAAUUCCAGCUCCAAUAGCGUAUAUUAAAGUUGUUGCAGUUAAAAAGCUCGUAGUUGAAUUUCGGAGUUUGUCGGUUGGUCGGGCUUCACUGUCCGCACUGGCCUGAUAGAUUCCUACCUUCUGAAUAACCAGCAUGCUAUUAAGUUAGUGCGUUGGGGAAGCAGAGCUAUUACCUUGAAAAAAUUAGAGUGCUUAAAGCAGGCUUAUGCUUGAAUAGAUUAGCAUGGAAUAAUAAAAUAGGACGGCAUGGUUCUAUUUUGUUGGUUUCUAGGAUCACCGUAAUGAUUAAUAGGGAUAGUUGGGGGCAUUAGUAUUCAAUUGUCAGAGGUGAAAUUCUUGGAUUUAUUGAAGACUAACUUCUGCGAAAGCAUUUGCCAAGGAUGCUUUCAUUAAUCAAGAACGAAAGUUAGGGGAUCGAAGACGAUCAGAUACCGUCGUAGUCUUAACCAUAAACUAUGCCGACUAGGGAUCGGACGAUGUUAAUUUUUUAAUGACUCGUUCGGCGCCU